rnacentral:rRNA from 1 species
AGGGCGUGUUAUCAUGAACGGGGUCGGGGUGAAAGCCCCUUCCUCAAGCCGGGGAAUCGCUUCGCCUUGGCGGGGCGUCCUUCCCGGCACAAUAACGAACCCCGGCGCGGUCUGCGCCAAGGAACAUGAAUACAAGCGUGCCCUUCUCCGACCGGUUCGCCGGUCGUGGACGUGGCACCAAGUCGUAUAUAACAUUAAACGACUCUCGGCAACGGAUAUCUCGGCUCUCGCAUCGAUGAAGAACGUAGCGAAAUGCGAUACUUGGUGUGAAUUGCAGAAUCCCGUGAACCAUCGAGUCUUUGAACGCAAGUUGCGCCCGAAGCCUUUAGGUUGAGGGCACGCCUGCCUGGGCGUCACGCAUCGCGUCUCCCCCCACCACCCCGUGUGGAUGGGGAGGAGGAUGAUGGCCUCCCAUGCCUCACCGGGCGUGGAUGGCCUAAAUAUGGAGCCCCCGGUUACGAAGUGCCGCGGCAAUUGGUGGAAUACAAGGCCACGCCUAGGAUGAAACGGUAGUCGCGCACAUCGUGGCUCUUGAGGACUCGCAGGACCCUUACUUGUUUGCCCCUAGGGGCGGCAAAACCGUUGCGACCCCAGGUCAGGCGGGGCUACCCGCUGAGUUUAAGCAUAUCAAUAAGCGGAGGAA